rnacentral:sRNA from 1 species
ACCGGCAGACGCCCGUCGCCGACCGGAUCCCAGUCGGACGGGUAUUCGGCCCAUUUCAGCAGUCGGACAAUUCCUCCGGAUGCAUAGAUCACACC